GGCUAUCGGGGGGAACUAGCAUGCGAGUCAUUGUAGCAAUACAAGGCAGACGGCUCAGUAACGCGUAGUCAAUCUACCCUAUGGACGGGAAUAACCUCGGGAAACUGAGAAUAAUGCCCGAUAGAACAUUAUACCUGGAACGGUUUAUGUUUCAAAUGAUUUAUCGCCGUAGGAUGGGACUGCGGCCUAUCAGUUUGUUGGUGAGGUAAUGGCCCACCAAGACUAUUACAGGUACGGGCUCUGAGAGGAGUAGCCCGGAGAUGGGUACUGAGACACGGACCCAGGCCCUAUGGGGCGCAGCAGGCGAGAAAACUUUGCAAUGUGCGAAAGCACGACAAGGUUAAUCCGAGUGGUUUCUGCUAAAGAAACCUUUUGCUAGUCCUAGAAACACUAGUGAAUAAGGGGUGGGCAAGUUCUGGUGUCAGCCGCCGCGGUAAAACCAGCACCUCAAGUGGUCAGGAUGAUUAUUGGGCCUAAAGCAUCCGUAGCUCGUUUUGUAAGUUUUCGGUUAAAUCCAUACGCUCAACGUAUGGGCUGCCGGGAAUACUGCAUAACUAGGAAGUGGGAGAGGUAGACGGUACUCGGUAGGAAGGGGUAAAAUCCUUUGAUCUAUUGAUGACCACCUGUGGCGAAGGCGGUCUACCAGAACACGUUCGACGGUGAGGGAUGAAAGCUGGGGGAGCAAACCGGAUUAGAUACCCGGGUAGUCCCAGCUGUAAACUAUGCAAACUCAGUGAUGCAUUGGCUUGUGGCCAAUGCAGUGCUGCAGGGAAGCCGUUAAGUUUGCCGCCUGGGAAGUACGUACGCAAGUAUGAAACUUAAAGGAAUUGGCGGGGGAGCACCACAAGGGGUGAAGCCUGCGGUUCAAUUGGAGUCAACGCCGGG
rnacentral:rRNA from 1 species